UUCAAGUCAAAAAUCUAAAGAAGCUUCCUUCCUUUAUUUUGUUGACAGGAACUAUUAACUAAAUGUAAAAAGAAGACCAAACACUUUUCUUGUCUUCAAAAGUAGUAAACAAAAGGCAAACAUAAUCAAGUAGAAACUAGAAAGAGACGAGCAUGCGAGCACGUUCGUUCGUUACGAAUCUUAAGAUAAACAAAUAAAAGUGGAGAGCACAUCAUCUCGUUCCCUUAAAGCCAACGUCUUCGCUUUUAUUUACUGUUUACGUUUCCUUCUCCACGUUUCUGUUUAUUAAAACAAAACCAAAGCAGAAGACAAGGCUUUCCCAACAUGGCCAACUCCAAAAGAUUGUAAGGAGGAAACUUCUUAGCCGAUCUCACAGAAAUAUCACAACUAAAAAAGACAUUGCCGCCAUUAAAAUCCAAGCUUACUACAGAGAUCACCUGGAAAGAGAUAAACACAUUUCAAUUUGAAACCUUGUUUUAAGUUUUUCUUUUGGGUGCAAAUGUUAAAUCCUUCUUUAAAGUUGACCAUUGCUAGUGGUGUAGGGAAGGAGAGCAUUCAAAGAGUUGUGUGAAGCUUCAGGCGGUGGCGAAAGGAGUGGUUGUGAGGAGACAAGCUAGAAUAGCCUCACAUUAUAUGCAUGCUCUUGCUCGCUUGCAGGUUACGCAAGAAAUACACAUUCUAAAAGGAUCCAUAGAGUAUAUAAAGGAAAGCGAAUCACAAGCAGUGGAAGAGAUUUAUACUUGGGACCGAAGCUAGUGGUGCCUUGGAUGGGAAGAAAGGGUAAGGCUUCCAUGGAGAGACACUAUAUUACCUGGUAGUUGACUUGAAUCUACAGAAUCUGAAAGUUAUAAGCAAGAUCAGUUACCUUUGUAGAGUUUGCAUCAAUAAAACCAUCAACAGAGUCUCUAUUUUCAA